rnacentral:lncRNA from 1 species
GGAUGUAUAUAUGCGUAAUCCUGGGGUGUGUGUCAUGGGGAUCCCGAGGGUGAGGGGAAUGGGGGGUGACCAACUGUAGUUCAGUCUCCAUAGGGCAUGGGUGGGGGCGGGUUUACUGUGUUUCUGAUCCUGUUUUUGGUAUAUUCCCUACUGAUUUCCCUAGCAUGAUCUUUUGUUUUUACCCGGGGGUUACUCCUUUUGUACAAAGUUGGGGGGAGUGUAGUACCUCAGGGUCAUUGGUGGUGCUCCACAUUGGAGGCAGAUCCGGAAGACGAGAGAGCCUCGUUUCGGAUCUGCCGGCAGUCGAAAACUAGAACCAGAACCUGAAGCAUCACGCUGAUUUCUAGCCGAUUCCAAAUAGUACCAAAGCAGUAUAUACUUGCAAGAUCGCCACGGUAAG